UACGUAGGUGGCAAGCGUUGUCCGGAUUUACUGGGCGUAAAGAGCGCGCAGGCGGUCGGAUAAGUCGAAUGUGAAAGCCCCCGGCUCAACUGGGGAGGGUCAUUCGAUACUGUUCGACUCGAAGGCAGGAGAGGGAAGUGGAAUUCCCGGUGUAGUGGUGAAAUGCGUAGAUAUCGGGAGGAACACCAGUGGCGAAGGCGGUUACCUGGAGCUUUGCUGACGCUGAUGCGCGAAAGCGUGGGGAGCGAUCCGG
rnacentral:rRNA from 1 species